GACGAACGCCGGCGGCGUGCUUAACACAUGCAAGUCGAACGGAAAGGCCUGCUUUCCCUUGUGGAUUGCGGGCACUCGAGUGGCGAACGGGUGAGUAACACGUGAGUGAUCUGCCCCCAACCUGGGUAUAAGCCUGGGAAACUGGGUCUAAUUCCCGAUAGGACUGCAGGGUGGUGCCUGUGGUGGAAAACGAUUUUCUAGUGGUUGGGGAUGAGCUCGCGGCCUAUCAGCUUGUUGGUGGGGUAAUGGCCUACCAAGGCGGCGACGGGUAGCCGGCCUGAGAGGGUGGACGGCCACAUUGGGACUGGGAUACGGCCCAGACUCGUACGGGAGGCAGCAGUGGGGAAUAUUGCACAGUGGGCGGAAGCCUGAUGCAGCGACGCCGCGUGGGGGAUGACGGCCUUCGGGUUGUAAACUCCUUUCGACCGCGAGGAAGCCACCUGGUUGGAAGGGUGGUGACGGUAGUGGUAGAAGAAGCACCGGCUAACUACGUG
rnacentral:rRNA from 1 species